CUCAAAGAAAGGGCUGUAACCACUAAAGGC
rnacentral:piRNA from 1 species